rnacentral:rRNA from 1 species
GUAGCUGCAGGAAAAGAAAUCAACCGAGAUUCCCAAAGUAGCGGCGAGCGAAAUGGGAAGAGCCUGUACGUGAUAGUCGGACUGAUAGAAGAAUCCUCUGGAAAUAGGAACCGUAGCGGGUGAUAGUCCCGUAUUCGAAAUCAGACCGGUGAUACUAAGCGUACGACAAGUAGGGCGGGACACGUGACAUCCUGUCUGAAUAUGGGGGGACCAUCCUCCAAGGCUAAAUACUCG